GACGAACGCUGGCGGCGUGCCUAAUACAUGCCAGUAGAACGCUGAAGGAGGAGCUUGCUUCUCUGGAUGAGUUGCGAACGGGUGAGUAACGCGUAGGUAACCUGCCUGGUAGCGGGGGAUAACUAUUGGAAACGAUAGCUAAUACCGCAUAACAGUAGAUAUCGCAUGAUAUCUACUUGAAAGGUGCAAUUGCAUCACUACCAGAUGGACCUGCGUUGUAUUAGCUAGUUGGUGAGGUAACGGCUCACCAAGGCGACGAUACAUAGCCGACCUGAGAGGGUGAUCGGCCACACUGGGACUGAGACACGGCCCAGACUCCUACGGGAGGCAGCAGUAGGGAAUCUUCGGCAAUGGACGGAAGUCUGACCGAGCAACGCCGCGUGAGUGAAGAAGGUUUUCGGAUCGUAAAGCUCUGUUGUAAGAGAAGAACGAGUGUGAGAGUGGAAAGUUCACACUGUGACGGUAGCUUACCAGAAAGGGACGGCUAACUACGUG
rnacentral:rRNA from 1 species